CCGGUCAAUGUCAUGGCCGCUGGUUACAACACCUUUUAUAAAUAAAUUCGCAAACAACUCAAAGAAUAGAACAGAAUAAAGGAAUUCCACAAUUCAUAACAAUGUGACUAUCUUAUCAUCGCCACUGUGACAGUCUUGUUUUCUAAUUAAAUAAAUAUUUAUUACGUCAGUGGUAAAACCGCGUCGGAGGUCCACCAACGAGAUGGACGGACGACUUAGUCAAGGCCGCGGGUUCACGGUGGAAGCAGGCCGCUUCCGAACCGCUUGGAAGACGACGAGGGAGGCCUAUGUCCAGCAGUGGACCUCACAUGGCUGAAGUAGUAGUAAUAGUAGUAUAUUUUAUUUUUAUUGACGCUUCCUUUAAACAAUAAAAUCGUUUCACUGUAGUAAAUUUA